UACGUAGGGGGCAAGCGUUGUCCGGAUUUAUUGGGCGUAAAGAGCGUGUAGGCGGCCAGAUAGGUCAGCUGUGAAAACUCGAGGCUCAACCUCGAGACGUCGGUUGAAACCAUCUGGCUAGAGUCCGGAGGAGGAGAGUGGAAUUCCCGGUGUAGCGGUGAAAUGCGCAGAUAUCGGGAAGAACACCCGUGGCGAAGGCGGCUCACUGGACCGGUUCUGACGCUGAGGCGCGAAAGCGUGGGGAGCAAACGGG
rnacentral:rRNA from 1 species